AAACUGACUAAUCACUGCGCGGCUUCCUUCGCAAUGCCCGCCUUCCCCUUCCUGCCCCAGCCAAUCAGAGGCGAGCCAGAAGCGGUGCCCCCUUCUGCCGCCGCCGGGUCCCGCCGGGCUCGGGACAGGAUUUCCCAUUCCCAACCCUUGGGAGGCUGUGAGGAAGAGGAAGAUGCCCUGGGACACUGAGGCAGUGCCAUAAUCGGUGGACUUGUCAGUCCAAGGUCGUCCAAUAUUGGGAAAGCAGAGCGGAAGCACAGAGCGGCACCGUGUGAGACACAGAUGCCCAAGCCAGUGCCUCACAGGGACGGCUGCAAGCCUCAGCCCAGUCUCCCCAAGCAGCCCUUGCCAGACCGCAGGCAGCCCUGGCCGGAGCGCCACAGACCAGCCACCCCAGCGCAGGGAUGGACCUGGCAACCUCCAGUGUGAAAAAUGCGUAUUUAAUGAUUGGCUUUUCGCAAAUAUUAAAAUGAGUAUUAUAUGUGUUGUGUUAGAAAGUGGUGCUGUAUUAAUUCUCUUAAGUAGCGUGUUAAAUACAGUUUUAGGUUAUAAAAAGUGUUAAAAUAGAAACUAUGCUAUGUAGGAUACUUUUUUUAAAGAAAGGGACUCGCAGCCAGAUAGCAGCCACAGGACACCUAAAUCUUUCAGAGAAAAAGAAUUUAUUGCCCUCUUAUCAGAAGAAAUGAACUUCUUCCCAGCUCGAAGACGCUGUUGGGAUUCAGAGGAAGAAGCUGAGAAUGACCAGACAGAAUCCUGUGUGUGAAUGGAAUUUAUGCAUCAUGUAUGAAGUGUAUGAAUAUGUAACAGGCUGUUGUUUUUAAGGGUUAAUCCUUUGUUAAUGGGUGUCCUUUUUCGAGCUUGUGCUGCCCAGAAAAAGGUACCCGAACAUCUGUAACUCUUUGUGUCUAUUGUCUCAUAUUGUCCAAUUCAAAUUGUCCAAAUUACUAUUACUCUCACUGUAUUACUACAUUUAUAACCAUUUUAUUACUAUUAAACAUUUAAAAUUUUAAAACAAA